GACGAACGCUGGCGGCGUGCUUAACACAUGCAAGUCGAACGAAGAGCGACGGAAGCUUGCUUCUCUCAAUCUUAGUGGCGAACGGGUGAGUAACGCGUAAUCAACCUGCCCUUCAGAGGGGGACAACAGUUGGAAACGACUGCUAAUACCGCAUACGAUCUAACCUCGGCAUCGAGGAUAGAUGAAAGGUGGCCUCUACAUGUAAGCUAUCACUGAAGGAGGGGAUUGCGUCUGAUUAGCUAGUUGGAGGGGUAACGGCCCACCAAGGCGAUGAUCAGUAGCCGGUCUGAGAGGAUGAACGGCCACAUUGGGACUGAGACACGGCCCAGACUCCUACGGGAGGCAGCAGUGGGGAAUCUUCCGCAAUGGACGAAAGUCUGACGGAGCAACGCCGCGUGAGUGAUGACGGCCUUCGGGUUGUAAAGCUCUGUUAAUCGGGACGAAAGGCCUUCUUGCGAAUAGUGAGAAGGAUUGACGGUACCGGAAUAGAAAGCCACGGCUAACUACGUG
rnacentral:rRNA from 1 species